UACGAAGGGGGCUAGCGUUGUUCGGAAUUACUGGGCGUAAAGCGCGCGCAGGCGGCCAUUCAAGUUAGAGGUGAAAGCCUGGAGCUCAACUCCAGAACUGCCUUUAAGACUGCAUCGCUUGAAUCCAGGAGAGGUGAGUGGAAUUCCGAGUGUAGAGGUGAAAUUCGUAGAUAUUCGGAAGAACACCAGUGGCGAAGGCGGCUCACUGGACUGGUAUUGACGCUGAGGUACGAAAGCGUGGGGAGCAAACAGG
rnacentral:rRNA from 1 species